rnacentral:tmRNA from 4 species
GGGGAUGACAGGUUUAGACAAAUGAGAUUCUUUGACAAUGCGCGCGGUAGAGCUCCAAAAACUCUUUAAAAGUUUGGAAAGCAUAAAUGCUAAAAACAUUGUUGCACAAGCAAAAGCUGUUGUUUCUCCAUAUUUUGGAGUCAAUGACUUUGCUUUCGCUUAUGUCAGAACUUAAUUUUAUUAAGUUCGCCUAAGCGACGGUCAUCUUUUUUUCGUCCGGAGAAAAGAAUGAUUGUAAUAAAUCGGGCUUAGAAUAUAGAAAGUGUUUCGCUCUAUAUUUGAAAUAAGAAACUAGAUAUUUGUUUGUUUCGUUAACUUUAUAGAACAAAUAUCAAAUUUCUGUCGCAAGACAGAAUAAAGUUGAAUACAUCGCGUAGAAGCAUUAUCAAAACUUGUUUGCAUCCGGUUUCAAUAUCGGCAUCUCCACCA